CCAGUCCUCCGACACGUCACGUGACUGCGUAUCACAGCCUCUGAUGCCGUGAUCCCUAAUCAGAGAAAGAAGAAUCUAUUUCCACCGUCACGGACGGCCAUGAUGGUCCCAACUUCAACUCUUCUCGAGUCUCACACCCCGAUUUUAUUUUUAUUAGACUUUCCCUCUCGACCGAACGGAGCGCUUGUUCUCACUCGCUCCAUCGCGAGAGAGAUCGAUCGAGUAGUAGAAAGGGGAAGUCGAAGAGCUGAGAUCACGGUUAUGGCGUCUUCAAACGUGGUCGGAUUCGUGGGGCUGGACGAGCUGAGCUUGGAACUCGCUUCCUCGCUCAUCCGAUCGGGCUUCCGCGUUCAGGGAUUCGAGGUGGUUGGGUCAUCGGUGAUCGACCGGUUCUUGGAGUUGGGUGGAGCCAAAUGUGCCAGCCCCAUGGAGGCAGCAAGAAAUGCUACAGCUAUGAUAAUAGUGGCUUCUGCAGAUGAAAUGACUGAGGUUUUCUUUGGGAAGGAGGGUGUAGUAAGAGGAUUGUGUAUGGAAGCUGUUGUUAUUCUUCAAUCCACAUUAUCGCCAAGUCAUAUUCAGAAGCUAGAGAAGAAUCUCUCAGUUGAGGCAGGGAAUCUGGUUCUUGUCGAUGCACAAAUUUUUCAAGGAGUUUCGGAGCCUCUGAAAGGAAAAAAUAUUGUUGUCACAUCAGGAAGCCAAAUUGCAAUGCGGAGGGCUCGACCUGUUCUGUCUGCUAUCAGUGAAAAGGUUUUUUCAUAUGAAGGUGAAGUUAGUGUUGGAAGAAAGAUCCGGAUGGUAAAUGAUCUGCUUGAGGGUAUUCAUCUUGUUGCUUUGGUGGAGGCAAUAUUUCUUGGUGUUCGAGCAGGAAUUCAUCCAUCUAUUCUCUAUGACAUAAUCUCAAAUGCUGCUGGAAGUUCUUGGAUCUUUGUGGAUACAGUUCCCAAAUUGUUGAGUGGUGACCACUUAUUGACAAAAUCUUUGAGCACUCUAGUAAAAAAUGUGGGAUUUGUGUUGGACAUGGCCAAAGCAGUCACAUUUCCUCUUCCACUUUUGGUCAUUGCAUAUCAGCAGUUAAUACAGGCCUCUUCAUGUACUUGUGGAGACUUUGCUUCUGCUUCACCAUGGAAGAUCUGGGAACAAAUGUUUGGAGUUAAUAUUAGAGAUGCAGCUAAUCAGAAGUCCUAUAACCCUGGUCACCUAGCAGAGCAACUUUCUGUGACAUCCAAAGGUGUAAAAAGAAUUGGUUUUAUUGGUCUUGGAGCAAUGGGUUUUGGCAUGGCAACACAUUUGCUAAGGUCAAAUUUCUACAUCAUUGCUUACGAUGUGUAUAAGCCAACUCUAAAUAGGUUUGCAGAUUUAGGUGGGAUAGUGGGGUCCUCUCCUGAAGGAGUAGCUAAAGAUGUAGAAGUGCUUAUUGUCAUGGUUGCAAAUGAAGCUCAAGCUGAAAGUGUUCUAUAUGGAAAUUCUGGUUCAGUGUUUGCACUUCCAGCUGGAGCAACUAUAAUUCUUUCUUCUACAGUCUCCCCAGGUUUUAUAACUCGUCUUGAGCAACGAUUAAAAGAUGAGAACAAGAGCUUAAAAUUGGUGGAUGCACCUGUAUCUGGUGGUGUCAAAAGAGCAGCUGAUGGAACACUUACGAUAAUGGUUUCGGGCACAGAUGAAGCUCUCUCAUGUGCUGGUUCUAUUCUCUCAACGCUAAGUGAGAAGCUCUAUGUCAUUGAAGGUGGAUGUGGAGCUGCAAGUUCUGUGAAGAUGGUUAAUCAACUGCUUGCUGGAGUUCAUAUAGCUGCAGCAGCAGAAGCCAUGGCAUUUGGAGCUCGAUUGGAUCUAAACACCAGAAUGCUUUUUGAAAUAAUUAAACAUGGAGGAGGUUAUUCAUGGAUGUUUGGAAAUCGUGUGCCACACAUGUUAGAAAAUGAUUACACACCAUGCUCUGCAGUUGAUAUCUUUGUCAAAGAUCUUGGCAUCGUGUCUAAUGAAAGCUCCAAUCUUAAGAUCCCACUUCAUAUUUCAAAUGCUGCCCACCAACUUUUUCUUUCAGGUUCUGCUUCUGGCUGGGGUCGAUAUGAUGAUGCUGCUGUUGUUAAGGUCUAUGAGACACUAACUGGUGUUAAAGUUGAAGGGAAAGCUUUUCUUCUUAAUAAAGAAGACCUGUUAAAGUCUCUUCCAUCUGAAUGGCCAGCGGAUCCAAUGGAAGAUCUUCAUUUACUGGAGUACCCGACUACCUCAAAAGUUUUAGUAGUUUUGGAUGAUGACCCCACUGGAACUCAAACUGUUCAUGACAUUGAAGUCUUAACAGAAUGGAGAAUUGAGACACUUGUUGAGCAGUUCAGCAAAAGGCCUACCUGUUUCUUUAUUUUAACUAAUUCACGAUCAUUAAGCACUGAGAAGGCUAUCUUGUUAACAAAAGAUAUCUGUAGAAAUGUAGACACUGCAGCUAAAAGAGUUACAGGCAUUAAUUACACAGUGGUGUUGAGAGGUGAUUCAACUCUUCGUGGUCACUUUCCAGAAGAAGCUGAUGCGGCUAUUUCAGUAUUAGGCGAGAUGGAUGCGUGGAUCAUUUGUCCUUUCUUUCUACAAGGUGGACGUUACACUAUUAAUGACAUUCACUAUGUUGCAGAUGCUGAUAGGCUUGUACCUGCUGGGGAGACUGAGUUCUCCAAGGAUGCUGCCUUUGGUUACAAAUCUUCUAAUCUCAGAGAGUGGGUUGAAGAGAAAACAAAAGGGCGAAUUCCAGCCGGCAGUGUUUCUUCAAUUUCUAUUGAUCUCUUGCGUAAAGGAGGGCCUGUUGCUGUUUGCAAGCAUCUCUGUAGCUUGCAAAAGGGGUCAAUAUGUAUCGUUAAUGCUGCAAGUGAAAGAGAUGUAACUGUAAUCGCCGCAGGAAUGAUCCAGGCAGAAAUGAAAGGAAAACGUUUUUUAUGCCGCACUGCUGCAAGUUUUGUAUCUGCUCGAAUUGGAAUAAGGCCAAAGCCUCCUAUCUGUCCAAGGGAUCUUGGCAUAACCAAAGAUAAAUUUGGAGGUCUCAUAAUUGUCGGUUCAUAUGUUCCAAAAACCACCAAGCAGGUUGAAGAACUAAAGGCGCAGUUGGGCCAUACGCUAAGAUGCAUAGAGGUGUCUGUUGAUAAAAUUUCCAUGAAGUCGAUUGAAGAGAGAGAGGAAGAGAUUAGUCAUUUAGCUGAAAUUGCAUCUGCUUCCUUGAAGGCCAGGAAAGAUACUCUUUUGAUGACCAGCAGGCAACUUAUUACAGGAAAAUCUCCAGAAGAAAGUUUAGAAAUUAACUACAAGGUCAGCUCUGCACUUGUGGACGUUGUUAGGCGAAUUAAUGCUCGACCUCGUUAUAUCCUUGCCAAGGGUGGAAUCACUUCAUCAGAUCUUGCUACGAAAGCUUUAGAAGCCCAGCGUGCUAGGGUAAUUGGACAAGCAUCAGCCGGUGUGCCCUUAUGGCAGUUAGGACCAGAAAGUAGACACCCUGGGGUUCCAUACAUUGUUUUCCCAGGUAAUGUUGGCGAUAAAACUGCACUGGCUGAAGUUGUAAAAAACUGGGCCUGUCCUCCUAGAAGUUCAACCAAAGCUAUUCUUCUUAAUGCGGAGAAGGGUGGAUAUGCUGUUGGUGCAUUCAAUGUUUAUAAUCUUGAAGGGGUAGAAGCAGUUAUUUCAGCUGCAGAGGCUGAAAGCAGUCCCGCUAUAUUGCAGGUACAUCCAGGUGCUUUGAAGGUAGGAGGGCUCUCUUUGGUUGCAUGUUGCAUUUCUGCUGCUGAACAGGCCAGACCUUUUUUUGGCAGGUGCCAAUUGCUAUUCACUUUGAUCACGGAAAUUCAAAAACUGAGCUGCUUGAAGCUCUUGAGUUGGGCUUUGAUUCAGUCAUGGUUGAUGCAUCACAUAUUCCUGUAAAGGAGAAUAUCUUGUGCACAAAGUACAUAUCAGUUUUGGCGCACACAAAAGGACUGCUUGUGGAAGCUGAACUCGGGCGGUUGUCAGGCACUGAAGAUGACUUGACAGUUGAAGAUUAUGAAGCCAGAUUAACUGAUGUCACUCAGGCUCAAGAAUUUAUUGAUAAGACAGGCAUUGAUGCUUUAGCGGUUUGCAUAGGAAAUGUACAUGGAAAAUACCCAUCUAGUGGUCCCAAUUUAAGACUUGACUUGCUAAAGAAACUUCGUGCAUUAACUGUUGAGAGAGGAGUAAGUUUGGUUCUGCACGGAGCAUCCGGUCUGCCCAAAGAGAUUAUAAAGGAAUGCAUAGCAUUAGGUGUAAGAAAGUUCAACGUGAACACAGAAGUCCGGAGUUCCUACUUGGAGUCUCUCCAGAAGCCCCACAAAGACUUGGUUCAUGUGAUGGCGUCUGCAAAGGAGGCAAUGCAAGCUGUGAUUGCAGAGAAGAUGCAUCUCUUCGGUUCGGCAGGAAAGGCAUGGUAAUAAUCACAAGUUUAUAGCUGAUUGCAGAGAAGAGCUCAUUCCUCUUCCCUAUAUCUGUCAUUUAUGUUUAAAACCUUGUAUUGACUGCUAGACUUGGUGCAUAUGCCUUCAAACAUGGCAUUGUCUCCUUACCAUUAAAAAAAAUCUUGCCAAAUUGUUAUUUAUUGUUCUUUUUAUUGACCCUUUGAUCUGCAUUUUAAUAGAUUGUUCCUGCCGGGCUUGGCUCAA